UUUAUGUCAUGAUUUUAAGGAGAUUAAAUACAGACAAAUAAAAAAUAUUAGCAACUCAAAUCCUGAAGCAGUGGAUCUCAGCGUUUGGAUUUUGUUCCCCCUCAAAAACACACGGCAAAUUAUAUUAACACAGGGGACACCGUUUCCUGGACAUUUAAGGAUGUAUGUGAUUCCCCGGAUAUUAUUUAUACCUCCACCUUCUUCUCAUUCAAACGAGAAUGCAGAUGGGAAUAUCAGUGAGUGAGAAUGAAAUUCUCAUAGGAAUAACUUUGAAUCCUCCACUCUAAUUUAUUUUUAAGUAAAUCAGUGGAAAGCUAUUAUUAAUCACAAAUUGCUUGUGAACCACCUCCCAAAGAAUCACAAGUGUGUGUGCCACAAUAGUACAUUUAAACUAUAUUCUGUGUUCAAGUUUAGACCUAGAUAGACUAAGUUCUUCUAAGGUUAGAUAAUCCUAUGUGAUCCGAAUCUUUAGAAAUUUAUUAUGUAGCUAAAUACCAAUAAUCAGAGCCAACCAGUGCCAUAAUUUAAACACUUAUUUUGCUUAUUACUCUUUUUUUCCUACUUGGCUUCCUUUCUGUCUUUUAUGUGAAAGACUUGAUGGUAGAGGAAGGCGGGGUAGCUGGUUAGCUCUCCCUAAAGCAGGUACUUUCCUUUCCCAGAGUUGCUGUGCCUUUCAGACCUCCUCUGACAAGGUGUUGAUAUGUGGAAGUAGUUACCCCAGGUCUACUGUGCCUGCAGCCAGGCUGUGAGCAGUCACUUCCAUGGAAAUCGUAGCAGUCCCUGCCAGCAAUUCUGGUUCACAGAUGUCUCAGGAGGCAGCCCCACCCUUCCUUGGUUGCAGCAGUGGGGUUUGCAAAUGAUCAGCGCACCAGAGUUGUAACCAACCUUAAGGUGGAUUUCCAAAAGGUAGGAAACUUGUUGGUUUCGGAGAAAUAUUUCUUUAAUAUUUUAUACACUCAAAAAAUUUUAUAAAGAAUUCCUUUCAUGAUGAUUCAGGUGGGGCCAUUUUGUUCUUUCUGUGAAUGAAUCCUUUGCUUAUUUUGGGGUAAAUGUGGUUUUUACAUACCCUAAGUUUAACUAUAAAUCCUUCUGCAAAUGCAAACUGAAAGCACACUUUCCUUCUCAUUAAAUUCCAUCUUACCAAAAGAAAGAUCUAAGUAUAACUGUAACAGGAUCUAAGUAGAGCUGUAAACCAGAAGUACAGGACUGCCUUGUAAACAGUACAACAUGAGAGCACGCGGGAAGGUCUGUCUAUUCUGACUCAAUAAGCGAUUGCUGUGUGAAGUCAAAUCUACACAUUAGGUUAGUUGCUCAGACCCAAAUGGCAUGCCUUUGUAGCCUUGUAGGAGCCUUUUAAUUAUUGUGAGACAGGAAACACAUUCGAUAGAAAAUGAAAUCAUUAGCUAUGAUUUCUCUGGAAUAACACGUCUGCUCUUUGAUAGGCAGCAUUGUUUGUUGGAGCUUUGUUUUUUCCACAUUUUAAUGAAUAGAUGAAAGUUUUCUAGAAUUGGACGUCCUUGGGCCUUAAGAAAAGCCUUGGCUUAAAGGCUGAUUUUCAAAAGGUAACAAGGGGAAGGGAAGUACAACAGAAGAAAAAAAGAGAAGUAAAAGAAAAGAAGGAGAAACAGAGACGUAGAAUGGAGGGAAACAAAAACUGAAGCAAGCGAGAAGGAGCAGAGGGAGGCAGGAGGGAGAGAGAGUAAAGAGAAAGAAUAAAAUACAGAAGGCAGAGAUACUGACAGUACAGAUAUUCAAAGACAAUGAACUUUCGGAGUGAAUCAGCAAAUUGUUAGAAAGUCCAGGUAUUUGUGUAAUUGUGAUACAUUGGAAAAAUUCAUACUGUAAAAUGAGCUUCAAAUUCUUACCAUCUCUUGCACAAUACAGAAACACACUGUUAGUCUGCUGGGCUAUCAUCAGAGAGAUGCCAAAAUGAGGGCACAGGAUGAAAGUCUUGUGAGAGUCUUCUACCUUGUGUGCUUCUCGGACUGAACCAUGGAAUCUGUGCAUUUUUAUAUUAUCUGCUAUUAACGGGGUACAUGGGUUGCAUGUUUUGAUCGAAUAGUUUUAAAAACAUGACCCUACUUCCAUGAGAAAAUUAUUUUUGAAACAUGAGAAAGAUUCAGUGUUCAUUUUUUUUCCUGGGGACAUAGUUUCAAGGUUAAAUGUUCAAAUCCAGUUCAUGAUCCUAGGGAUUAGAAGUCAGCAAAAGGCUGAGAUAAUGCAAAAUGAGAAAGAGAGGACCCACUUUCACGAAGGCUAGGAGACAGGUCUAGGAUGGACAGCCUGGAAAGCUAAAGAAGAAGACAUAAAGCUUAAGAAGGUAUUGAAUACCCUUUACCAUGCAGAUAUAAAACAGCAGACCUAACAGCCAUGUUUCAGAUUAACUAUAUUAUAGGAGCAUUUGCUUCAUGAAAUUACUACUUACAAAAGGACAUGCCAUAUCUGAAUGUCUGUAAGAGAAAAUCACCCUAUUAAUUACAAACUUACUUUGGACUGAAAAUCUUUGGUUCCACUAUAAAUGUUGUUGCUAAUGGAGAAAACAUUAGAGAAAACUUUUCCAUCUCCGUAUUAGUUUAUACUCACCACAUGUUUAGAAAUUAAGAUUUCUAAGAUCUUUGCCGAACACACAUACAUAUUUCUCUUUCUACAAGUAUAAAUUAUUUAUUCUUUUAGUUCUCCAUUCAUCAAUCUCAAAAUGGAGAAAAUAUAGAAAAUGUAUGUAUUAUGGAUUUGCUUGUCUGCACUCUAUUAUGAAGCAAUCCUUGCCCACAUUUAAAGAUGUACUUAAAGAGAAUUUAAAUACAAACAGACUCAUAUGCACGUGCAUACAAAAAGGAAGAAAGGAAAAAGGAGGAAAUGUUAUGAGAUUUUCUUUCUAAUUUUUUUUCUCCAAGUCACCCCUUCUUACAUGUAUAGUACUCAGAGUAUUCUUUCUUAAACAGCUAUUUGUUCUUUCUUGUCAGUGUGAUACACUAAAAGCAAAUGAUGCUGCCUUUAUAAUAUUUGUAAAUUUGGUCUUGGUAUUUAUCCCUGCAUAAGCACAAAGUCACUACAGAGGCAAUAUGUUGGUUGCCCCCACUGUCCAAAAGUAGUUCAGUCCAAAGAGGGAAGCAUAAAUUUAGGAUCAAGAUGGAUGCUGUGAUAUGAGGGGUAGCUGACCAGGUUUCAGGGAUGGGGAGGAAGGCGAAGGGACACUCUACUUCUUUUAAUCUGGUUUGUUGAUAUGUUUUUGCACAACUUAUUCACAUCUUUUUUUCUAACUUAUUAACUUCUAAGAUUCAAAUGCAUGUGUAAACCCUCUGAGGGCUGUCAUGUCAUUUACUCUUUUGUAGUACAUGAUUAUUAUGCAUACAUACAAGUUUUGCCAAGAAUCCCCCAUUACUCCUUCUUUAUUAACGAACAACAAACUGGGAGGGUUAGUUCUGCAUUGUCACUUCAGUUUCCUCAUGAGGAAUUGGGCUUGUUGCUUUUGGGUUUGGGAGCACCCCGGUCAAUAUCACUCAAGUCCUGUUCUACAAUAAAAGGACCUGAUCUGUCUUUGCUGGUUUAUUCUGGGUACCGUGUUGAUCUGCAGAACUCAGACUACAGGCAUUGUUUCCUGUGUCACUUGCUCUAUGUGGCAGAAUAAGGCAACUAAAUAUGUCAGUCUCCUGGUUCUAGCUUUUUGCCAAAUCUGCUCUGAGAUUUAAUCAAAAAUCUUCACCAAUUUACAAACUGGCACGUGCCCUUGCUAAGAAAACUCUUACUCUCUCUUUUACUCUCAUUCUCUUUUCAACCUAUACCCAAAUCACAGCUGGUGAAUGGACAUAAGAAGCACUUUACUUUUGCCUGUCAAAGAUUUCCGGUUCCUGUUUGCUUCUGUGAAGGACACCCCAAGAACUUCCCCGAGGAGUGUUGUAGAAGUCUGGCUACAAUCAGCGUUGAGUCUUAAUUCUGAAGAUGAGGGUCAGCUCUCCAGAACAGGUGCUGGGACCAAAGACCGAAACCAGCUAUAACCCUAGCAGUUUUUUCAUGAGGUGAGAAUUUUAGGCAGGAUGGAUGGGAUGAAAGCAUUGAAAUGCACUGAAUUGACAAAUGUCAAAGAAGCGGGGAAAAUAGCUGAAUGGUUUAGUCAUUGAUCUGUCAUCAGUGGAGCUGGAGCUCAGAUGGCAAUGGUAUCAUUUUUAGCGCAGCCCUCUUCGUCCUCUGCUCAGAUGCACCAAAUGAGGCGCCCAUUUGCUGACUAGAAAUUUACAGUUGAGGUCGACUGAUGAUGCAGUGCAAAGAAGCCUGUUCUGUUCCUCUGCUCACGCAUAAGCCAUGCCAACCUUCACCUUUAAAUAGCUCCAUAUUUAAUUAUGUGAUAUUUAGAAAUAAAGUUCAGUCACAGUUCACUAAUAACUUGUUCCUACCUAAGAAAGAAAGAAAAAAAAAAAAGAUUUAGCAAUCAGUAACUCUCAAAGGAAAAAAAAAAAAAAAAGACAACUCAGUACAAGGUUGCAAUGUAAAAUAAAGCCUUUAUUUCAGGGAAAAUCAUAAUAAAUUAAACUCAUUAUUAAAAAAUACACUAAAAAUUUUUAACACUAUUUUUGGCACUAUUUUUCUAUUUUACCACAAAACCUUAGGACGAAAAGGAUUAGCUUAAGCAAACAGAAAAAAAAAAAACAAAAAACAAACACUGAACCUUGAAGAAGGUACAGUAGCUACUUUCUUGAAAAUAAAACAAUCUUUUCGUUCCUGCCAUUUGUCUGAAUUCUUCCUCCGGGCAAGCUGGACAGCUGCACUAGUGGUUUUUUAGUCAUGGGUUGUAAGCCCCACCUGGCUAGAUUUGUUUAGCAGACAGCUGGCAGAAUUAAAUAAAAAGAAUGGGACACAAAAAGCUUCCCCCCAAAAAGCUGAGAGAAUACUUUUUGGAUGUUUUAACCUUUUGGAGGUUUAUACUUUUCUAUUUUUUUUCUUGCUACAGUCACAUAGUACUUACUAUAUGUGAAUAUAUGUCAUAGAUACUUUCUCUCACUUAUAACAACACAGCUGAGGUAAAAAAAUGUAGCAUAAAUGCAAACCUCAAGUAAGCAUAUCUUGGGCCACUAUUUUUAAGUUAGAAACACUGAUUUGCAGUUUAUAGGUCCCCAAGAAUGACAUCAGUUUCAAAUUAGCAUUUUUUUAUUUCUACAUUUUCUUUGUUAUUUUUUAAAGCCAAUAAAAUAGAUUUUCUUCGUCUGGAAUGUUCUUUCUCGCUUAAAGAUAAGAAGGAGUCUAAAUUGUGGGAAUGGCAUCUUUCUGCAUCUGUUUCUCUCACAAACCUAUCAAAUAUCUAAUUUUUGGCAUGACUGCUGGCUCCGACAGGAGGAUGACAUAAACCAGCUUUGUGGUUACAUGUUUCACUUUUAAUCUCAUGGAAAUAAAAAUCAGCACUGAAAUGUCCCUUUACAUGUGACAAUUUGGGACUCUUUUCCAAAAGCCCAAGCAGAAGGGCGUUAACCUGGUAAGCUUAACACAGAGCAUAUGCAGAAGUAUCAGGCAUUUUUAUGCUAAAAGGCACAAGGCAAACCUGCCUCUAGUAGAGCUUUGUUCCCAUCAGAGACAGGAACUACAAAAAUCGAAAGACUUAGUGGCAGCAAGUUACCGAAAAAUGACCAAAACGCCUAUCGGAAUCGGGAAAUGAAAUAUAGUACUUGAUAGCCGCACAUCUUUCUCUGUGUUUUGUCUCUUUCCAUAAAUGCGACAGGACUAGUGGAAUAUUUCAACCAUCAUGGGUUUGCUACUUAGCACCAGGAGAAUCCAGCUUUUCACUAAACACAGUAAAUAUAGUAU
rnacentral:lncRNA from 1 species